UACAGAGGGGGCAAGCGUUGUUCGGAAUUACUGGGCGUAAAGGGCGCGUAGGCGGCCUGCUAAGUCGAACGUGAAAUCCCUGGGCUCAACCCAGGAACUGCGUCCGAUACUGGUUGGCUUGAAUCCGGGAGAGGGACGUGGAAUUCCAGGUGUAGCGGUGAAAUGCGUAGAUAUCUGGAGGAACACCGGUGGCGAAGGCGGCACUCUGGGCCGAUUCUGACACUGAGGAGCGAAAGCGUGGGGAGCGAACAGG
rnacentral:rRNA from 1 species